AGCUCAACGAGCUCGGUUUCUUCUUAUUUAUACCCACCCAUGCUAUUUUCAACUUCAUGCAGUAUAUUCAGCAUCUCGAGGAGUUAAAAAAAUUCUCAAAGUCAUUAUAAAUUUGACAUUUCACUACACAUUUGAGAUCUUCCGCACCGGCGACUCACGCUCACUCUGCCUCAGCUCACGCACGAAGGAAUGAAUGAAGAAACGAAGGAAACAGGUGAGUUUUUAUAAAAAUUCAGUGGGUCUCAUUUUUUUUUAUUUCUUCUUUCCUCUCUCUCCCUUUUUUUUAUUAUUAUUAUAUAUACGUAAUGAUUGCAGCACGCGGGGGACGCCGAAAGUGCUUCUCUUCUUCUUCUUCUUCUUCUUCUUUUUUUUC